rnacentral:rRNA from 1 species
AUAGUCCUACGGGGCGCAGCAGUGGGGGAUAUUGCACAAUGGGGGAAACCCUGAUGCAGCGACGCCGCGUGAGUGAAGAAGUAUUUCGGUAUGUAAAGCUCUAUCAGCAGGGAAGAAAAUGACAGUACCUGACCAAGAAGCCCCGGCUAACUACGUGCCAGCAGCCGCGGUAAUACGUAGGUGGCAAGCGUUGUCCGGAAUUACUGGGUGUAAAGGGAGCGCAGGCGGGAAGCCAAGUCAGCUGUGAAAACUACGGGCUUAACUUGUAGACUGCAGUUGAAACUGGUUUUCUUGAGUGAAGUAGA